UCGGGAAUUUUGGGCAAUGGGCGAAAGCCUGACCCAGCAACGCCGCGUGAGGGAUGAAGUGUUUCGGUAUGUAAACCUCGAAAGAAUGGGAAGAAUAAAUGACGGUACCAUUUAUAAGCUCCGGCUAACUACGUGCCAGCAGCCGCGGUAAUACGUAGGGAGCAAGCGUUGUUCGGAUUUACUGGGCGUAAAGGGCGCGUAGGCGGCGCGGUAAGUCACUUGUGAAAUCUCUGAGCUUAACUCAGAACGGCCAAGUGAUACUGCUGUGCUAGAGUGCGGAAGAGGCAACCGCAAUUCUUGGUGUAGCGGUGAAAUGCGUAGAUAUCAAGAGGAACACCUGAGGCGAAGGCGGGUUGCUGGGCCGACACUGACGCUGAUGCGCGAAAGCCAGGG
rnacentral:rRNA from 1 species